GAGAGCGCAGAGAGGCGGAGAAACAAAAUUCGAAAACAGAUUUAAGCCAAGUUUGAAAGCUUGCAUCUGUUUGCUAGUGCUAUGAGAAAACGUCGUUGUAGAGGCCUGGGUGUUAAAACAAAACACUGGAACUGCUUUUUUGCCGAACACGAGUGAGACUGGACGCUGUAUACACCUGCAACGCGAAGGUGUCACCACUUUGUCCACGACAUCGUCCACUGAGACGUCGUCCACGAUCGCAGAGACAUGGUCCAUGAUCGGAGAGACAUUGUUGAGGAUGAGGGAGACAUCGUCCACGAUCAGAGACAUUGUCCACGAUCGCAAAAACCUUGUCAAAGAUGAGAGAGACGUUGUCCAUGAUCAGAGACAUUGCCCAUGCUUCGUAGAGACCUUGCGAUAGAAUCGGCGGAGACGGGGGUCACCGAUUUGACGGCAUUGCCCGCGAUCAGGGACAUUGUCGAUGGUCACAGAGACAGCGUCUAUGAUCUCAGAGACAUCGUCCACGAUCACAAAGACACAGUCCAUGAUCACAGAGACAUUGUCCAUAAUCUCAGAGACAUUGUCCGCGAUCACAGAGACGCAGUCCACGAUCACAGAGUCUUCGUACAAUGAAGAAGUUCUUUGAGACCAGGACAGAGGCCUCCAGGUGUUACCACUUUGUCCACGACAUCGUCCGCUGAGACGUCGUCCACGAUCGCAGAGACAUGGUCCAUGAUCGGAGAGACAUUGUUGAGGAUGAGGGAGACAUCGUCCACGAUCAGAGACAUUGUCCACGAUCGCAAAGACCUUGUCAAAGAUGAGAGAGACGUUGUCCAUGAUCAGAGACAUUGCCCAUGCUUCGUAGAGACCUUGCGAUAGAAUCGGCGGAGACGGGGGUCACCGAUUUGACGGCAUUGCCCGCGAUCAGGGACAUUGUCGAUGGUCACAGAGACAGCGUCUAUGAUCUCAGAGACAUCGUCCACGAUCACAAAGACACAGUCCAUGAUCACAGAGACAUUGUCCAUAAUCUCAGAGACAUUGUCCGCGAUCACAGAGACGCAGUCCACGAUCACAGAGUCUUCGUACAAUGAAGAAGUUCUUUGAGACCAGGACAGAGGCCUCCAGGUGUUACCACUUUGUCCACGACAUCGUCCGCUGAGACGUCGUCCACGAUCGCAGAGACAUGGUCCAUGAUCGGAGAGACAUUGUUGAGGAUGAGGGAGACAUCGUCCACGAUCAGAGACAUUGUCCACGAUUGCAAAGACCUUGUCAAAGAUGAGAGAGACGUUGUCCAUGAUCAGAGACAUUGCCCAUGCUUCGUAGAGACCUUGCGAUAGAAUCGGCGGAGACGGGGGUCACCGAUUUGACGGCAUUGCCCGCGAUCAGGGACAUUGUCGAUGGUCACAGAGACAGCGUCUAUGAUCUCAGAGACAUCGUCCACGAUCACAAAGACAUAGUCCAUGAUCACAGAGACAUUGUCCAUAAUCUCAGAGACAUUGUCCGCGAUCACAGAGACGUAGUCCACGAUCACAGAGUCUUCGUACAAUGAAGAAGUUCUUUGAGACCAGGACAGAGGCCUCCAGGUAAUUCACAAACAAGUUUACAUCAACUGUCCAACACAGAGCACUGACAUUAAAUGUUUAUGUUCAGUUUUCAGUAUAUCAGAAAAG